CGUGGAGCGAUUUGUCUGGUUUAUUCCGAUAACGAGCGAGACUCUAGCCUACUAAAUAGUCGGCGCGUUGCCUCUGUGUGCACGGCUUCUUAGAGGGAUUUUCGGUGUUCAGCCGCACGAAAUUGAGCAAUAACAGGUCUGUGAUGCCCUUAGAUGUCCGGGGCUGCACGCGCGCUACACUGGCAAAAUCAGCGUGCUUGUCCUUCCCCGAAAGGGGUUGGUAAACCCUUGAAAAUUUGCCGUGAUUGGGAUCGGAAAUUGCAAUUAUUUUCCGUGAACGAGGAAUUCCAAGUAAGUGCGAGUCAUCAACUCGCUUUGAAUACGUCCCUGCCCUUUGUAC
rnacentral:rRNA from 1 species